rnacentral:lncRNA from 1 species
CCUUUGGGAAUCUGUUCAAUUGGCUUGUGUAUUAGAAGUCACUGGGGUAUGUGGUGGGAGGGGCAGCAUAUACUCAGUCAUGGUACUCAUUUCAGUGCUGGGGUGGAAAUGUUGUUUUUCUCAGGCUUAGGGGUGACUGUAGUAUCUACAACAGAGAUUAUCAAGUGUCAGGUUUCAUUGAUCAAGGCCGAUGUUAUGUUUAUUUUUUAUGUUUAUGCUCCUAAUGAGGGUACAGAGCAUAUUGCUGUAUUUGAUCAAAUAAAGGAAAUCUUAAGACAGUGGGACCAAGAGGGGUGUAUGGUUUUAGAGGGGGACUGGAACUGUACAGUGGGUUUCACUGAUCGCACUGCUGAAGAACCUCACCUCAUCUAAUAACCGAGUUUCAGCUUUCUGAUGUGUGGAGAGUCAGGAAUGCAAAAGUUAGGCUGUACACAUGGCUAAAAGUUAAUGAAGGUGGUGUCAGUGCAGCAACGUUAGACAGGUUGUAUGUAUCUGAUCACUACUGUAGUAGGGUUGGAAGGUUAGACAGGUUGUAUGUAUCUGAUCACUACUGUAAUAGGGUUGGAAGGUUAGACAGGUUGUAUGUAUCUGAUCACUACUGUAAUAGGGUUGGAAGGUUAGACAGGUUGUAUGUAUCUGAUCACUACUGUAGUAGGGUUGGAAGGUUAGACAGGUUGUAUGUAUCUGAUCUCUACUGUACUAGGGUUGGAAGGUUAGACAGGUUGUAUGUAUCUGAUCACUACUGUAGUAGGGUUGGAAGGUUAGACAGGUGGUAUGUAUCUGAUCUCUACUGUAGUAGGGUUGGAAGGUUAGACAGGUUGUAUGUAUCUGAUCACUACUGUAGUAGGGUUGGAAGGUUAGACAGGUUGUAUGUAUCUGAUCUCUACUGUAGUAGGGUUGGAAGGUUAGACAGGUUGUAUGUAUCUGAUCACUACUGUAAUAGGGUUGGAAGGUUAGACAGGUUGUAUGUAUCUGAUCACUACUGUAGUAGGGUUGGAAGGUU